CGCGGCCUAUCAGCUUGUUGGUGAGGUAACGGCCUACCAAGGCGAUGGCGGGUAGCUGGUCUCAGCGGAUGGCCAGCCACACGGGGACUGAGACACGGCCCAGACUCCUACGGGAGGCAGCAGUGGGGAAUUUUGCGCAAUGGGCGGAAGCCUGACGCAGCGACGCCGUGUGGGGGAGGACGGCCUUCGGGUUGUAAACCUCUUUCGGCCCUGACGAAUGUGACGGUAGGGGCUAAAGAAGCGCCGGCUAACUACGUGCCAGCAGCCGCGGUAAUACGUAGGGCGCGAGCGUUGUUCGGAUUUACUGGGCGUAAAGGGCUCGUAGGCGGUUUGUCGCGUCGGUCGUGGAAAUGUCUGGCUUAACUGGGCACGUGCGGCUGAUACGGGCAGACUCGAGGGCGGUAGGGGCAAGCGGAAUUCCUGGUGUAGCGGUGAAAUGCGCAGAUAUCAGGAGGAACACCGAUGGCGAAGGCAGCUUGCUGGGCCGUUCCUGACGCUGAGGAGCGAAAGCGUGGGUAGCGAACAGGAUUAGAUACCCUGGUAGUCCAUGCUGUAAACGUUGGGCGCUAGGUGUGGGGACCAUUCUUGGUGUCCGUGCCGUAGCUAACGCAUUAAGCGCCCCGCCUGGGGAGUACGGA
rnacentral:rRNA from 1 species